GUUUCUGUAGUGUAGUGGUGAUCACGUUCGCCUUACUCGCGAAAGGUCCCCAGUUCAAAACUAGGCAGAAACU